rnacentral:rRNA from 1 species
GUGUCAGCCGCCGCGGUAAUACGUAGGGGGCGAGCGUUGCUCGGAAUUACUGGGCGUAAAGGGUGUGUAGGUGGCUGAAUAAGUCAAAGAUGAAAUCCCGAGGCUCAACUUCGGAAUUGUCUUUGAUACUGUUCAGCUUGAGGUUAGUUGAGGAGAGCGGAAUUCCCGGUGGAGCGGUGAAAUGCGUAGAUAUCGGGAGGAACACCUGAGGCGUAGGCGGUUCUCUACACUAAUCCUGACACUGAGACACGAAAGCUAGGGGAGCAAACGGGAUUAGAUACCCCGGUAGUCCUAGCCGUAAACGAUGGACGCUAGAUGUUCCUGCGUUUAUGCUGGAGUGUCGAAGCUAACGCGUUAAGCGUCCCGCCUGGGGAGUACGGUCGCAAGAUUGAAACUUAAAUGAAUUGGCGGGG